AUAAAAAACCGGGGGUCAAAACGUAAUUUAAAAAAGUUGUGCCAUGUUAGCACCACGUCAGCAGCCACAUCAGCGGCCCGGUCGCAGCCCCGGCCAACCAGGACGAGUCGCGUGGCAAGGACAGGCUGACCAGGGGACGGGCCACGGGGGCGAUCCGACUGCGCGCGAUCGGACAGCCCAGAUCCGUUCCCCCGCACACGGAC
rnacentral:lncRNA from 1 species